CCCCUGCGGCCCCCGCAGCCGGUUAGCCUGAACUCUGGCACCGCCCCCCACGCCACAGUCUGGGCCUCUGCCGCGCGCCCUGCCUCCUGUUGCCCACAUCCCCGCGGCCCCUGAGCCCAGAAGCAUGCUUCUAAAGGCGACCCAAGGACGCGACCGGUGGCAGCCGGGUCACCAGCCAGCCACACAAAGGAGACCCUGAACCUUGCCCGAAUGACUGCCACCUGGGCCACCUGGGCCACCUGCGUCACCUCCUUCGGGUACCCUGGUACGGUUGCAGGGAGACCCAGCCGGCCCUCAGCAGAGCCUGGUGGGCAUACGCAGAUUCCUGGCGGAGGCACUAGGAAUGGAACAGGUUUCUGAGCCUGGCUGAGGGUGCCUGCUCUGGGUGCCAGGAACAAUGUGUCACCGGGGGCCAGGAGCAGAUACCGGAAUGCCGAGGUAUGCCUGGCACUCCGAAGGGCAUCAGGAAGUAUCUUAUGGGUCUCUUGGGUUUCUUAGAUGCUGAGGCAACCUGUUACCGAAAUACUCUACUGACGGCCCCCAAAACAGAUCUGGUUUUGCCCACAAAUACAGAAGCUUGGCUUUUGAGAUA